AUGACGGUUCAAAAAAAGAAAAAGAAAAUAAAAGAGGGACUUAGGAAGUUGACCCUGCCUCAGUCGCUCCGCAAGAAGCGCCCACUUACCACCGGCUCACCGAGGGAGCGACAGCUCCUGCCAGCUCAACCUGCCUCUCGCCUAGACUCUGACGCUAUCAACAGCCAACCGCAAGCUGGCGCGGCGGCUCAGCUAGGCUCCUGCCCUCGCGGCUGCGGCAUUGGCGAGCGCCCGGCACCGCCUACUUGCCCUCCUCUGCCGCUCGUCCCCAUAGGCCAGACGGGCUGUCCAGCUGGCGACCGCUCCCGCCUCCCACGGAGCGUGAGGAAAAUGCAGAGACCAAGGGGCGGUGCCAAUCUAGAAACCAAGAGUCUUGCAGGCUUUGUCACGUUCAAGUUUUGAUGGGUGAUGCAUUGUACCUUAAACUGUGCUUGUUAACAAGUAAUAAACAACUAAAAAUAAGUAACUAAAAAAAAAAA
rnacentral:lncRNA from 1 species